GAUGAACGCUGGCGGCGUGCCUAAUACAUGCAAGUCGAGCGAACAGAUAAGGAGCUUGCUCCUUUGACGUUAGCGGCGGACGGGUGAGUAACACGUGGGUAACCUACCUAUAAGACUGGGAUAACUUCGGGAAACCGGAGCUAAUACCGGAUAACAUUUGGAACCGCAUGGUUCUAAAGUGAAAGAUGGUUUUGCUAUCACUUAUAGAUGGACCCGCGCCGUAUUAGCUAGUUGGUAAGGUAACGGCUUACCAAGGCAACGAUACGUAGCCGACCUGAGAGGGUGCUCGGCCACACUGGAACUGUGACACGGUCCAGACUCCUACGGGAGGCAGCAGUAGGGAAUCUUCCGCAAUGGGCGAAAGCCUGACGGAGCAACGCCGCGUGAGUGAUGAAGGGUUUCGGCUCGUAAAACUCUGUUAUUAGGGAAGAACAAACGUGUAAGUAACUGUGCACGUCUUGACGGUACCUAAUCAGAAAGCCACGGCUAACUACGUG
rnacentral:rRNA from 1 species